UACGAAGGGGACUAGCGUUGUUCGGAUUUACUGGGCGUAAAGCGCGCGUAGGCGGAUAUUUAAGUCAGGGGUGAAAUCCCGGGGCUCAACCCUGGAACUGCCUUUGAUACUGGAUGUCUGGAGAUCGGGAGAGGUUGGUGGAAUUCCGAGUGUAGAGGUGAAAUUCGUAGAUAUUCGGAGGAACACCAGAAGCGAAGGCGGCCAACUGGCCCGAUACUGACGCUGAGGCGCGAAAGCGUGGGGAGCAAACAGG
rnacentral:rRNA from 1 species